AGAGUUUGAUCCUGGCUCAGAUUGAACGCUGGCGGCAGGCUUAACACAUGCAAGUCGAGCGGUAACAGAGAGUAGCUUGCUACUCUGCUGACGAGCGGCGGACGGGUGAGUAACACUUGGGAAUCUGCCUUUUGGAGGGGGAUAACCACUGGAAACGGUGGCUAAUACCGCAUAAUGCUUUCGAGCCAAAGCGGGGGAUCUUCGGACCUCGCGCCAUUAGAUGAGCCCAAGCAAGAUUAGGUAGUUGGUGGGGUAAAGGCCUACCAAGCCGACGAUCUUUAGCUGGUCUGAGAGGAUGAUCAGCCACACUGGGACUGAGACACGGCCCAGACUCCUACGGGAGGCAGCAGUGGGGAAUAUUGGACAAUGGGCGCAAGCCUGAUCCAGCCAUGCCGCGUGUGUGAAGAAGGCCUUCGGGUUGUAAAGCACUUUCAGUGGUGAGGAAGGCCUAAUAGUUAAUAGCUAUUAGGAUUGACGCUAGCCACAGAAGAAGCACCGGCUAACUCCGUGCCAGCAGCCGCGGUAAUACGGAGGGUGCGAGCGUUAAUCGGAAUUACUGGGCGUAAAGCGCACGUAGGCGGUUUGUUAAGCUAGAUGUGAAAGCCCCGGGCUUAACCUGGGAAUUGCAUUUAGAACUGGCAGGCUAGAGUUUUGAAGAGGGUGGUAGAAUUUCCAGUGUAGCGGUGAAAUGCGUAGAUAUUGGAAGGAAUAUCAGUGGCGAAGGCGGCCACCUGGUCAAAAACUGACGCUGAGGAGCGAAAGCGUGGGGAGCAAACAGGAUUAGAUACCCUGGUAGUCCACGCUGUAAACGAUGUCGACUAGUUGUUCGUGUCAUAAACGAUGUGAGUAACGCAGCUAACGCACUAAGUCGACCGCCUGGGGAGUACGGCCGCAAGGUUAAAACUCAAAUGAAUUGACGGGGGCCCGCACAAGCGGUGGAGCAUGUGGUUUAAUUCGAUGCAACGCGAAGAACCUUACCAUCCCUUGACAUCCAGUGAAUCUUCUAGAGAUAGAGGAGUGCCUUCGGGAGCACUGAGACAGGUGCUGCAUGGCUGUCGUCAGCUCGUGUUGUGAGAUGUUGGGUUAAGUCCCGCAACGAGCGCAACCC
rnacentral:rRNA from 1 species